rnacentral:rRNA from 1 species
UACGUAGGUGGCGAGCGUUGUCCGGAUUUACUGGGCGUAAAGGGAGCGUAGGCGGACUUUUAAGUGAGAUGUGAAAUACUCGGGCUCAACUUGAGUGCUGCAUUUCAAACUGGAAGUCUAGAGUGCAGGAGAGGAGAAUGGAAUUCCUAGUGUAGCGGUGAAAUGCGUAGAGAUUAGGAAGAACACCAGUGGCGAAGGCGAUUCUCUGGACUGUGACUGACGCUGAGGCACGAAAGCGUGGGGAGCAAAUAGG